AUGAAGUAUACAAAAUAUAGACAAAAUCUUAGGGAGGUUAUGGAAUCUCUGACAACCUGGUUUGGUGCACUAUUGUUCUGGUUGAUUUGCCUUGUUGUAAUUAUUUCCCAUAUUUUCUUGUCAAUUGUCUUAUAUAAGUAUAAGAAUACGAAUUUUCUUUUCCAAAUAGACGUCUCUCACAGAAUCUGCAAUUUGCUGCUCUUGUGCUUUCAUGUGGUGACUGAUCUCUUCUCUGAUUGA